CAGCAGCCACGGGAAUACGAAGGGUGCAAGCGUUAAUCGGAAUUACUGGGCGUAAAGCGUGCGUAGGCGGUUUGUUAAGUCUGUUGUGAAAUCCCCGGGCUCAACCUGGGAAUGGCAAUGGAUACUGGCAAGCUAGAGUGUGUCAGAGGAUGGUGGAAUUCCCGGUGUAGCGGUGAAAUGCGUAGAGAUCGGGAGGAACAUCAGUGGCGAAGGCGGCAACCUGGCUCAUUACUGACGCUGAGGCGCGAAAGCGUGGGGAGCAAACAGGAUUAGAUACCCCAGUAGUCCCUGUCUCUUAUAC
rnacentral:rRNA from 1 species